UACGUAGGGUGCAAGCGUUACUCGGAAUUACUGGGCGUAAAGCGUGCGCAGGCGGUUUGUCAAGUCUGCUGUGAAAUCCCCGAGCUCAACUUGGGAAUUGCAGUGGAUACUGGUAAGCUGGAGUACGGUAGAGGAAGGUGGAAUUCCCGGUGUAGCAGUGAAAUGCGUAGAUAUCGGGAGGAACACCAGUGGCGAAGGCGGCCUUCUGGACCAGUACUGACGCUCAUGCACGAAAGCGUGGGGAGCAAACAGG
rnacentral:rRNA from 1 species